rnacentral:miRNA from 1 species
UGACCAGAAGAAGAAGAAAA